ensembl:snRNA U2 U2 spliceosomal RNA
AUCGCUUCUCGGCCUUUUGGCUAAGAUCAAGUGUAGUACAAAUAUCCUACAGGAAUUAACCAAAAUGUGAGGGGACUUGAAAAUAGAAAUAGAAUUUAAAAAUAAGUUUAUUUUGUGACAAUUUUUAAAAAUUCAUGUAUAUGAGGUCUUCACAAAGCUCUAUUAGUGAAAUGGGCAUCUUUU